UACAGAGGUCUCAACCGUUGUUCGGAUUCAUUGGGCGUAAAGAGCUCGUAGGCGGCCUGUUGCGUCCGCUGUGAAAGCCCGGGGCUUAACCCCGGGUCGGCAGUGGAUACGGGCAGGCUAGAGGUAGGUAGGGGAGAAUGGAAUUCCCGGUGUAGCGGUGAAAUGCGCAGAUAUCAGGAGGAACACCGGUGGCGAAGGCGGUUCUCUGGGCAUGUCCUGACGCUGAGGAGCGAAAGUGUGGGGAGCGAACAGG
rnacentral:rRNA from 1 species